UACAGAGGGUGCAAGCGUUGUUCGGAAUUACUGGGCGUAAAGCGCGUGUAGGUGGCGAUGUAAGUCGGGUGUGAAAUCCCUCAGCUUAACUGAGGAAGUGCACUCGAUACUGUGUCGCUUGAGUGUUGGAGGGGAUGGCGGAAUUCCCGGUGUAGAGGUGAAAUGCGUAGAUAUCGUCAGGAACGCCAAUGGUGAAGACAGGUGACUGGGCUAGAUCUGACACUGAGGCACGAAAGCGUGGGGAGCGAACGGG
rnacentral:rRNA from 1 species